GGGGGCGUAACUGGUUUCGACGGAAAAGAUUUUUAAAGGUGCAAAGCGUGUGGUAGGCAGUUACCUUAAAAAGCAAAAAAAAAUAAACGCAAAUAAUAAUCAAUACGCUGUAGCAGCUUAGUCUCACAGCUGUCCUAGUUAGAAAUCUCGCGGUCUAGCAAAGGGCAUCAACUCAGCGGGGAACAUUUAAUUGUUGUGCCAAUAAGCAAUUAAAGGAACUAAAUUGGCUAGCAAAUCUGGUUUUUGUAUACUUAAAUCGGUUUGCGAAAAGUAAAAGUAUACUGCACACGGAGAAAAGCUUUGUAAAACUUUUUCGGACGAGGGUUCAAUUCCCUCCGUCUCCACCA
rnacentral:tmRNA from 1 species